GGAAUCCUACGGGGGGCAGCAGUGGGGGAUAUUGCACAAUGGGGGGAACCCUGAUGCAGCGACGCCGCGUGGGUGAAGGAGUGCUUCGGCAUGUAAAGCCCUAUCGGCAGGGAAGAAGCAAGACGGUACCUGACUAAGAAGCCCCGGCUAACUACGUGCCAGCAGCCGCGGUAAUACGUAGGGGGCGAGCGUUAUCCGGAUUCACUGGGUGUAAAGGGAGCGUAGACGGCCAAGCAAGCCAGCGGUGAAAGCCC
rnacentral:rRNA from 1 species